rnacentral:rRNA from 1 species
UAAUGUAAUGAAUACAACAUUAAUUCACUGGAUCCUAUUAGAACUCCAGAAUUAAGCGCGCUUGGGCUAGAGUAGUAUUGGGAUGGGUGACCUCCUAGGAAUUCCUAGUGUUUUACAUGCC